UACAGAGGUCCCAAGCGUUGUUCGGAUUCACUGGGCGUAAAGGGUGCGUAGGUGGUGGGGUAAGUCGGAUGUGAAAGCUCGGAGCUCAACUCCGAAAUGGCAUUGGAAACUGCCCUGCUAGAGGAUUGGAGGGGGGACUGGAAUACUUGGUGUAGCAGUGAAAUGCGUAGAUAUCAAGUGGAACACCAGUGGCGAAGGCGAGUCCCUGGACAACUCCUGACACUGAGGCACGAAAGCUAGGGGAGCAAAC
rnacentral:rRNA from 1 species